rnacentral:rRNA from 1 species
GGCCUGGUUGGAUGGUCUGCCCUAGGGCAUGUACUGUCCUGACUGGGUCUUACCUUCUGGCAAGCUGUCGUGUCACUUGUGGUGCGGCAGGGAGUCAGGACUUUUACUUUGAAAAAAUUAGAGUGUUUAAAGCAGGCAUUUUGCUCGAAUACAUUAGCAUGGAAUAAUAAAAUAGGACGGUUGGUUCUAUUUUGUUGGUUUCUAGGAUCACCGUA